GGGGACGAUCGGUUUCGACGAGAGCUCUUUAACAAAACUGCAAGCGGACUUUUAUCUGUAGUCCUUAAAAAUGGGUUAAAAAACUAAAGCUAAAUCUUACGAUUCAGCUCCCCGUUUCCAGAUGGCAUUCGCCUAAGGAAUGGGUGUCCUUUAAUUUGAUUCUCGACCGAAUUAGAUGGGCAUAAACCUGUUCGAGAUGCUGUAUAAAUCUUAUGAUUUAGAGAUUUAUAAAUAAGCCAAUUACAUCUUACCUUGAAAUUUCUUGUUGAUUAGAUAAGUUCAAGGGAAAUUAAAAAAUCAAAUAAGCUUGUAGAUGUUUUGUUUUAAUGUUUUUCGGACGCGGGUUCGAUUCCCGCCGUCUCCACUC
rnacentral:tmRNA from 1 species